AUAAAUCUAGAGAUAGGAACAAGUAAUUUUUCCUUAAAGCUUACAGAGAGCCACUAUUUUGCUGAAAAGUGGUAGCCAAAAGAAAAAUGAAAAUCAUCCUUGAAGAUUUUAGCUGAAAUCCAGUAAGCUAAAACGUUUGUUCUACGUUAUAAGAACCGCGUAUUAUGAUGUACGUUGAGAGCUGUUGUCUAUAAUUAAGACAAAAUCAGGGUGGUACCGCGGAAAUAUAACCUCCGUCCCUUUA
rfam:Megamonas hypermegale ART12/1 draft genome.